UACGUAGGGUGCGAGCGUUAAUCGGAAUUACUGGGCGUAAAGCGUGCGCAGGCGGUUUUUCAAGACCGAUGUGAAAUCCCCGGGCUCAACCUGGGAAUGGCAUUGGUGACUGGAAGGCUAGAGUGUGUCAGAGGGGGGUAGAAUUCCACGUGUAGCAGUGAAAUGCGUAGAGAUGUGGAGGAAUACCGAUGGCGAAGGCAGCCCCCUGGGAUAACACUGACGCUCAUGCACGAAAGCGUGGGGAGCGAACAGG
rnacentral:rRNA from 1 species